GAAGCGGCUUCCCAAGGCGGAAGUUUCUCCUUAGGCCUGUAUUCGCAUUAUACACUGAGACACAAAUUAGACAACCACAUGUUACUCUAGGGCAGUGUUUCUCAAUCUUGUCAACAGGAAGUUGUGUGGACUUCAGCUUCAAGCCUGGCUGAGGAAUUCUGGGAGUCGAAAUCCAAACAUCUUCCAGUUGCGAAGAUUGAGAAACGCUGCCCUAUUGCCCUGUGCUCGUUCAAGCCGUUCUGUCUUCAGGUGAGCACCGUGGGACUUGGAGUGGAGGAAUAAUAGGAAGGAUCUGGUGAUGAACGCUGGGCCAAAGGAAUGAGAGAAUGGAUAUCUACAACACCUACAACAGUUUCCUCCAGCCUGACCUCUUCUUGAUGGGCUUUUUUUUUUUCUCUGUCUCCACAUCUGCUGGGUACAUGCUGAAAAUAAGAGUAAGCAGGUAAAAUGAAAGUAAAUCAGCUGCAGAUGGUCCCCUCCUCAUCUUUAAUUUAUACCCGACAGAGUAUCUUUCAAUUCUCCAAUCAAGCCAACAAUCCUGGAAUUUCCAGAUCUAAAUACCACUAAGGCCAAUCCUGCCUCAAUUAUGAAAUCAGCCAAGAACCAUUGGAUGCUACCAUUUGUAUAAGUUCAGAGCAUAUUUUUAACUAUUUUGAAAACAAGUUUUGUAGAUCAAAAUUCUCCCCAAAAAUUUGUACAAAGAAUUUUCUGUGAAGAACAAAACUGGAUGGCAGUAAGGUGAAAGGAACAGGGGAAUAGGUAGGGGAAAAUAAGAAAUAAAGCUCUGUUUAGAUAUUAUAAAAAGGAUUUAAAUUCAGAAAGUGAACAACAGAGGGGAGCUUAAUCCUUCCCAUAUCCCCAGCAAGAGUGAAUAUCCAAAGACCAUCCACAACCAUAUCUGCAAUUAUUUGUACUUUCUGCUAUAGUUUUUCUAUAAAGUUAUGGACCUUCAUUGAAAUCUAAGGAAAAUAUGUAUUUUUAAAUUUUUAAACUAGAGCCUGAAUUCUGAAGGUUGCCGAACAGUCUCUCCAUGCAGCAUUCAGCAUCUCUUUAUGAGAACAGCAGAUGAUCAACAAAGAGCUGAAGCAACAAUAUGGAUUCACACUACUU